rnacentral:rRNA from 1 species
AGCAUUAUACCGUGAAACUGCGAAUGGCUCAUUAAAUCAGUUAUCGUUUAUUUGAUAGUACCUUACUACUUGGACAACCGUGGUAAUUCUAGAGCUAAUACAUGCUGAAAACCCCGACUUCAGAAGGGGUGUAUUUAUUAGAUAAAAAACCAAUGCCCUUCGGGGCUCUUUGGUGAUUCAUAAUAACUUCUCAGAUCGCAUGGCCUUGCGCCGGCGACGGUUCAUUCAAAUUUCUGCCCUAUCAACUUUCGAUGGUAAGGUAUUGGCUUACCAUGGUUUCAACGGGUAACGGGGAAUUAGGGUUCGAUUCCGGAGAGGGAGCCUGAGAAACGGCUACCACAUCCAAGGAAGGCAGCAGGCGCGCAAAUUACCCAAUCCCGACACGGGGAGGUAGUGACAAUAAAUACUGAUACAGGGCUCUUUUGGGUCUUGUAAUUGGAAUGAGUACAAUUUAAACCUCUUAACGAGGAACAAUUGGAGGGCAAGUCUGGUGGACGUUCAGAUCCCAUCUGCUGACGCCAGAGAUAGCCGGGCAUCCUUUGCAAAAGGUGCUAUGCCGGCUGGUCGAGUACCUGUUAAUUGAUGGGGAGGUACCGGCAAGACAACCUGGAUCGGAAAAGGCUAAGGUACGGAAGUGCUAUGCCAAUCCCGAGCAGAGCUUCCAUGGAGCGAUUUGUGGAUGGCCUGUGUAGAGCGCGCAAAGGUGUCGGUCAGCUCACGUAGUUGGCUUAAGGGGACGUGCCAUUCCCAUCCGAAAGGGUGGCUGCCAGCAUAAGCGCCCAUCACGCAAGGGGUUGGCAGAUUUCAAACAAUUAGCCUGCACGAGUCUUGUGAGUAUCACGCGGGUUGAGAGUAGGUUACGGGAAAAAAAGUCCAUUGCCAGCAGUGGAGAAAAAAAACCCGUUCCAUCCUCCCUUCCUCCCCCCUUUCUGAACAGGAAGGUCAACGUGUGGAUCCAUCCUGCUCUACAGCUCAACUGUAAAUGUUUGAAAGUGUUAUUAAAAGGCCAGCAGCCGCGGUAAUUCCAGCUCCAAUAGCGUAUAUUAAAGUUGUUGCAGUUAAAAAGCUCGUAGUUGAAUCUUGGGCCUGGCUGGCAGGUCCGCCUCACCGCGUGUACUUGACCGGCCGGGCCUUCUCUUCUGGAGAACCUCAUGCCCUUCACUGGGCGUGUUGGGGACCAGGACUUUUACUUUGAAAAAAUUAGAGUGUUCAAAGCAGGCCUUUGCUCGAAUACGUUAGCAUGGAAUAAUAGAAUAGGACGUGCGGUCCUAUUUUGUUGGUUUCUAGGACCGCCGUAAUGAUUAAUAGGGACAGUCGGGGGCAUCAGUAUUCAAUUGUCAGAGGUGAAAUUCUUGGAUUUAUUGAAGACUAACUACUGCGAAAGCAUUUGCCAAGGAUGUUUUCAUUAAUCAGUGAACGAAAGUUAGGGGAUCGAAGACGAUCAGAUACCGUCGUAGUCUUAACCAUAAACUAUGCCGACUAGGGAUCGGGCGGUGUUUUAAUAAUGACUCGCUCGGCACCUUACGAGAAAUCAAAGUGUU